rnacentral:lncRNA from 1 species
AGUGCCGCGGCCACGUGGACGAAGACCAAAGUCUGGAGGGAAUUCCCUCAGCCACAAAGCGAUGGGAAAGCGGGACCCGGAUUAGGGAUCGUGAUGUGGAGCUGCACUUCCUGGUUCCAAAUCCUGGCUCUUCCCCUCAUCCCUGGGUAAGUUGAGGGAUGAGAGCAAGAGAAGGUUGAUCCUGACUCAGAUCUCUGCAUGGGGCAUGUCACUGAUGACGGCGGCAUUCCCUGAGAGAGGGAACACUAAGUUUGAAGUUGGGCAUAGUGAGCACUAUUUUGGAUGAGUUAAGUUUAGAAGUGCCUGAAGACAUCCAAGUGGAAGAAGUGGCUGCAUGGACUGAAGAUACAGACUGGGAAACGUUAACACCAUCAAGGAACUGGAGUCCUGGGCACAGCCCUUCAAGACAGAGGAGAUUAUGGGGCUACUGAACGUAUCUUGGACUUUAGAGAAAGAAAGUGAAGCUGAGCUGAGAUCCAUUGGUUCUAUUUUGGAAAGAUGCACCCCGUGGCAUGACCUUCACAGCUCAGUUCUGGGGUCAAAGGAAUUUUCCAUUGCUCACACUGCCACCCAACUCUGGGGGCAUAAGUGUGGAAGUGGUACAGCACACAUGGAGAAGGGAUGGGAGGAGCAGGGGUGUGUAUCAGCUUAGCCGAUCCCCCGAGGAGCUGCCAAGCUUGCUACCCCAAGAACAAUGCCUCAUAGCUCUGUGACCUCUUCAAGAUUAAGGCUCUUUGAUCUCAGCCCUUCUGAAGUGGUUUGAACCAUAUUCUAUACAAAAUUGGUAACUCCCCCAUAAGAAUUGCUUUUUAAAUAUCCUGCUCUAUUUGA